rnacentral:rRNA from 1 species
GAUGAACGCUGGCGGCGUGCCUAAUACAUGCAAGUCGAGCGAACGGACGAGAAGCUUGCUUCUCUGAUGUUAGCGGCGGACGGGUGAGUAACACGUGGAUAACCUACCUAUAAGACUGGGAUAACUUCGGGAAACGGUAGCUAACACCGGAUAAUAUUUUGAACCGCAUGGGUCAAAAGUGAAAGACGGUCUUGCUGUCACGUAUAGAUGGAUCCGCGCUGCAUUAGCUAGUUGGUAAGGUAACGGCCUACCAAGGCAACGAUGCAUAGCCGACCUGAGAGGGUGAUCGGCCGCACUGGAACUGGAACGCGGUCCAGGCUCCUACGGGAGGCAGCAGAAGGGAAUCGUACGCAAUGGGCGAAAGCCUGACGGAACAACGCCACGUGAGUUAUGGAGGUCUUCGGAUCGUAAAGCUCUGUUACUAGGGAAGAACAUAUGUGUAAGUAACUGUGCACAUCUUGACGGUACCUAAUCAGAAAGCCACGGCUAACUACGUG